UACGUAGGUGGCAAGCGUUGUCCGGAAUUAUUGGGCGUAAAGCGCGCGCAGGCGGUCCUUUAAGUCUGAUGUGAAAGCCCACGGCUCAACCGUGGAGGGUCAUUGGAAACUGGGGGACUUGAGUGCAGAGGAGGAAAGCGGAAUUCCACGUGUAGCGGUGAAAUGCGUAGAGAUGUGGAGGAACACCAGUGGCGAAGGCGGCUUUCUGGUCUGUAACUGACGCUGAGGCGCGAA
rnacentral:rRNA from 1 species